CACGUAGGGUGCGAGCGUUGUCCGGAAUUAUUGGGCGUAAAGAGCUCGUAGGCGGUGUGUCGCGUCGGCCGUGAAAACCUGCAGCUUAACUGUGGGCUUGCGGUCGAUACGGGCAUCACUGGAGUUCGGCAGGGGAGACUGGAAUUCCUGGUGAUAGCGGUGAAAUGCGCAGAUAUCAGGAGGAACACCGAGUGGCGAAGGCAGCUCGCUGGGACGGUACUGACGCUGAGGCGCGAAAGCGUGGGGAGCGAACAGG
rnacentral:rRNA from 1 species